rnacentral:rRNA from 1 species
UGCAGCGACGCCGCGUGAGGGAUGACGGCCUUCGGGUUGUAAACCUCUUUCAGUAGGGACGAAGCGCAAGUGACGGUACCUAUAGAAGAAGGACCGGCCAACUACGUGCCAGCAGCCGCGGUAAUACGUAGGGUCCGAGCGUUGUCCGGAAUUACUGGGCGUAAAGAGCUCGUAGGUGGUUUGUCGCGUUGUUCGUGAAAACUCACAGCUCAACUGUGGGCGUGCGGGCGAUACGGGCAGACUAGAGUACUGCAGGGGAGACUGGAAUUCCUGGUGUAGCGGUGGAAUGCGCAGAUAUCAGGAGGAACACCGGUGGCGAAGGCGGGUCUCUGGGCAGUAACUGACGCUGAGGAGCGAAAGCGUGGGGAGCGAACAGGAUUAGAUACCCUGGUAGUCCACGCCGUAAACGGUGGGUACUAGGUGUGGGUUUCCUUCCUUGGGAUCCGUGCCGUAGCUAACGCAUUAAGUACCCCGCCUGGGGAGUACGGCCGCAAGGCUAAAACUCAAAGAAAUUGACGGGGGCCCGCACAAGCGGCGGAGCAUGUGGAUUAAUUCGAUGCAACGCGAAGAACCUUACCUGGGUUUGACAUGCACAGGACGUGCCUAGAGAUAGGUAUUCCCUUGUGGU